UUCGCAAUGCCCGAAAGGGUGACGAAGCGACGCCGCGUGGGUGAAGAAGGCCUUCGGGUUGUAAAACCCUGUCAGGAGUUAUGAAAUGUAAGUGCGCUAAUAUCGUGCUUAUUUGACAAAGGCUCCAAAGGAAGCCACGGCUAACUCUGUGCCAGCAGCCGCGGUAAUACAGAGGUGGCGAGCGUUGUUCGGAAUUAUUGGGCGUAAAGAGCACGUAGGUGGGUUUGCAAGUCAGAUGUGAAAGCCUUCUGUUCAACGGGAGAAUUGCAUCUGAAACUGCUAAUCUUGAGUGUAGGAGGGGAGAAUGGAACUUCUGGUGGAGCGGUGAAAUGCGUAGAUAUCAGAAGGAACGCCGGCGGCGAAAGCGAUUCUCUGGCCUAUUACUGACACUCAGUGUGCGAAAGCUAGGGGAGCAAACGGGAUUAGAUACCCCGGUAGUCCUAGCCGUAAACGAUGGGCACUAAGUAGA
rnacentral:rRNA from 1 species